AUUUUUUUAACAUUUAUUUAUAACUUACUUACUUAAUAUUGCUUAUAAUAUCUGUUGAUCGUAAUAAAAACCAAACGAUGUUUAUUUCAUUUUUAUGGCAACUUUAAUGACUUUUCCGUCGGAUUAGACGAAUCCGCGUUUUCGGAGUCCGUGUUAUACGGGGGUCUACUUGUAUAUAAUAUUUUUUAAAAUUUAGUUUAUUUGUAUUCUGUUUUGUUUAUUAAAAGAAACCUCUUUAAAUCAAAUUAAUUAACCUUCUGCACAUAAAUCAUAUUUGAAACUAACGCACUAGCCAUCAGUGCUGGAACUUGAGACAAGUUAAAAUUUGCAUAAAAUCGUCUGAUAAUGCAUAUAUCGUAUAACGCGGAGAUAUGAUAUAUGUAUUUUGAAAAAUUAUCCCAUACAAAAUUUAUUCUAUUAAUAAUAGUUGAUUCUGAUGGCCGCGAUGGAAGUGUGCUGUGCCUCCAUCCUGGAAUCCGGUUCAGUUCUGGUUCUCAUAUCUGCACUUUUUCAGGAAAGGUCCGGGACCGGCCAGGCUCGUUGAGCCCCAUGCCAAAUCUGAUGGCUAAAUCCACUAGGAAUAUGGAUGACCCAUGACGGGCAUGAAAAUGCUCCACAGCUUAAUAUUCACCCGAAUGGAAAGCGGCAUAAAAUCAUACAAAAAAAUCUUUUUAAUAAGGAAAAUAUCAAAAAUCGCCAAAUUUAUAGCUAUUUGAAUUUUUUUAUUUGUUAUUUAAGCAACAGUAUAAUCUAAAUAUCAUUUUAUUAUUAUUAUAAGAUUAAAUUCUGAGUUUUUUCGUCUGAAAUCUAAAUCAUUUUUUAUCUCAUUUUCUGAAUUUUUCAGGAAUAUUUAAACUCUGCCAUCGAUCUCAAAUAAUCAGGAUGAAUUUAUUACCCCAGUAACAGAUUUCUCAUUAACCCGCUAUGACAUAUUCCAUUAUGCAGAUUAAAGUUGUUUAAACUUAAUAAACCAUAUAGAUCGAU
rnacentral:lncRNA from 1 species